GAGAGAGAGAGAGAGAGAGAGAGAGGAGAGAUCCAAGUAGGGACAUUGCCUAGGAGGGUUAGUUUUAGUUCCUGUCUCUAAAAUCAGGGUAGUCACCUCAAUAGGGAAAGUGAAUUGGCUAUGAAAUGAAAAGGGAAAAAUAAUUUCCACCAAAUCAGUAAGAAAGCAAGAGGAAGGAGUUGUUCACUUAAUUCUGACAACCGAGAGGCCCUGAGUCCUGGCCCUGUUGUCUCUGCUACCUCCCAAAGGCCGGUUACAAUGCUGCCUUCGAGUGGAUUAUCAGAUACAGGUGGUGUCAGUUUGGUGCGAUCAAAGGCUUCAACAUGGUGAGUGAAACUCCUAGUUUGUGAGAGAUCCCAGAUUCAAUACUUUGUCUCAUUCAAUCUCUGAGGAUUCACCUUCUGCCUGUUGUGACAGGAGAGAAAUGGAGAGUGGAGUACAGUAGGACAGACAUCUGCACUGGCUCAGGAGAAGUUCCGUCAGUCCCUACACAGGGAGAUGUUUUCAGAGAAGAACGAAGAGGCCAGGAGAGGGGAGAAACUGCUGGCUCUUGGCCCUCAGCUGGGAUUGCAAGCAAGUGUGAGCCAUGGGGACAAGAAUACAGGAUCCCCUAGAACCUCAAAGGAGCAGGAGCUGGAGCUCAGAGGAAGGAGAAAUACUAGGAAGAAGUGCUCAGGAGAUGCUCCCAAAGUGGUUUGCUCUGAAAGUUGCUUGGAGGUGGUGAUACUUGGUCAUUGGCAGGGGAAGGGAAAAAGCAUUUUCUGAGGGCUGAAGUUCAGAGGCCAAGCAGUGUCUGCUGGGGAGGGAUUUAUCCAGGCUGAUUCAGCUGCGUUUGUGCAGAGAAGUUCCCGGAGUGGGUAAAGCAUGUUGGGGCACUCAGCGACAUUAUCCUCUGGGCCGUGGGAUACCACUGGGGCCAGAGAGCUGGGCAGCUGAUAGCCUGUAUCACUGAUUAUCUGGCUCAUUUGGGGAAUCUGAGGACGGUGACUCCAUCAGCGAAUGAUGAAGGAGACAAGUUCUGGCCACAAGGGCCCGGGCAAUGUUUCUGGGAGCCCUUUGCAUUCCAUUAUAUUUCCUGUCACAAUCACCCUCGUCUCUGCCCUAGAAUGAGACUCAAAUUCUUUAAGUCCAGCUGCUUUGGACUCAACAAACUUCCCAUUGGGAAACAAUGCUUUUGAUUUUCAGUUUGACCACUAACCUUGAGCUAGGUAAUUUAUCUUGCUGAGCCUUGGAUUUCCCCCUGAACAUGGAAAUGAUAAUACCUCCUUUGCAAGUGUUAGGAUAAAUGCAAGAGUCCUGUGGAAUGUAAGGCACACAUUAGGUGCUCAACAAAUACCAGAUCCUUCUUAUUUGGUCCUUUCAAACCAGGACUAGUUUUUUUUUACUUUAAUGGGUUCAGCAUAUCACUCAAAAUACUUCACUUAAAAACAAUCAAAGCUUACAUAAUCACCAGCCUAAGUGGUUGCAUUAGCCUGUUAUUCUGUCAUCUUUUUCCAAUAAACAAACUGUCUUCCUCUCUCUUUCCUUUCUGUGGACGGAUCUGGAGGAUUUGCAAUGUGCAAAGCAGGUGGAUUGAUCGGUUAUUGAUCGCGAGUGAAUUAUAACCCCUUCAGCUCCAGCUCCUAAAAGCCACCCUUGUUUCUUCUGCCCAUUGCCUGGGACACAGUGACAUGUGGUUGCUGAAUUGAGAGAAAUCUGAUUGAUUUGAGUGUGGUCAGGGAGACUGCCCUCUGACUAGUCUAGCUACCAGGAUGCCAAAUUCUCUUGGGUGCAGCAAGGAGUGAUGGUUAUGUGGUUCAAGCAGGGCCAAUAUGGGUCUUGGCUGAAGUGUCUGGAAGGGGAAGGUCCCUUUCUAUUGCUAAGGCCUGAUCCUGGCAUCUUUUCUACCAAGGAAGAAGAGCCUUUCAGGUAAGGAAUCUAACAGGGGAGGCAGAGAACCAAGGAGCCCUUGGACUCCUUGUUUACUGGGACCACUCUUCAUCCUAACUUGCUUUUCUUUCCUUAGUAUAACUCAUGUGGUGUUGGUUUCAGAUGUAACACAAAGUACUAAGAUGCCAUAUUCAAAGAAGCACAGGGUUGUGGGGAGGGGGAGAGAAAGAGAGAGAGAGAGAUCACACAAAUCCACUCACAGAUAAAAGGCUGGACUGGGCUUUCCUUCAGGUCUUCUGAUUCCUCAACCAGUGUUACCCAUACUAAGCCAAUGAAAGGUGUUAUCCUCCCAAAGCGUCUCCUGCAAAUGGAUGACUCUCUUGCCACUAGAAUUUCAAUCCUAUGUGGAUAGUAGUGGGAGAUCCUGCUGUCCUCUGCCACCUAGCUGUUCGUCUUUCUAGGAAAACAACUUUAUUCCUAGGGGUUAUGGGAACACUUUGUCCCAGGCCCUUGCAGCUGUGGGAUUUCCCAUGGGCAGAAAGAUGACCAAGAGCCUUUGCUCUGAAAGAUAGGCCUUUCUCAUUUCUCUGCCAAGGACUAUUAAUUUCCCCUGAAAACAGCUUUUUUCCACCCAGUUACAACAUCCCUGGGACAAGUGUUUUCAAUAUCUCCCACUGGAGAUGGUUUGCAUUCAAAUGCUGGCCAAAUUAUUGAGCCCUAUUCUUGGAUACUUCACUCCCAGCAGUUGGGGGGGGCACUCAUUAUUAGACCAGCAGGUUCUAUGUGGGGGUUUCAUUGUCUUUGUCAGCAAAUGAGAUUCAUUAGGGUGCACUGCAGGGUGAUGGGAAGAGUGAAUUUGGUCUGGAUACUGAUGCUGGAUGCUGUCUCAUUUCUACAGCACAGACUUGAUCAAAAAAAGGAAAAAGCAGUAGGUCUCUUACAUUUGGUUUUGAAGACACCAAUCAGCACAGUUCCUCACUGUUCAAGGUGGUGGGCACCUGCCUACUGCAAAUCUACUGAAGUCCAGCUGGUAAUAAGGGAAAGGUCUCUAUGGGCAGGGGUCACUAACCUGGGGUGAGAAAGGACAAGACCCAGCACAGACUCAGGUUCUCAAAAGCACAAAUACAUCUCAAUUUUGAAGAAUUUAUAAGAAAAAAGUAGUCUCAUCAGUGUCUAUUUUUACUUCUUGCCCCUCAUUCUUAACUCCUCUGUAAGUGCCUAAAGGAACUAGCAGAGAUGCCAGGGAAAUGCUCUGUGAAUUUUGUAUCUCUGGCAUCCAGGUGGUCUGAGGCAUGCUGGUUGGACUCUGGACUGUGGGCUUUUGUUGGGGGGGGUGCGGAGGUGAAGAGAAUAAAGAUGGCUGUCAUUGCUGGCUAGAGCAUCACUUUGAAAAUUGCAUGUGCCAGGCAUAGCAUUGUCGGACUAAUUUAAAGAUGUGGGUUUGUUAUCAGGUUCUCUAGAAGAGAGCCUGAGGAGGGGAUUCAUAUGGGAGUGUUUUUUGAGGAAUUACUCUCAAAAGAAACCUGUAGGAGAGUGAGGGAAGCAGGUGAGGACAGGUGUAAAGCAAUGCCAGGGUGCAGGCUCUGCUUGCAUCUCCACUUGGCCCUAUCUCACCUUAGGGAGCUCAGGAGCAGAAUGGCACCUGAGUGCUCUUCACCUCAUGACAAAGAGCUAGGAUUGUGUGUCUUCCAGCCUUCAGUCUUUGGCUGCAAGCACCCUGAAGGUUGGCCCAAAACCUCCCAGGCAUCUCUAGGUGGAAUCUCUGAAAGGGGUAACCUUGAGUUCUUAGCAGCCCACACUCACAGCUGUGAGGGGAGAUGUGCUCUGGUCCAGUGAAGAGGAUCCGGGGGAGCCCCAGUGG
rnacentral:lncRNA from 1 species